GUGCAAGCCUCCAGCAUGCUUGGGUCUUGGGUGAGCCGGUGCUUUCGAGAACAAGAUGAAACCAUCUGAGGCCUUACCCUCCUCCAUUCAGAGCCAGGUUAUGGAAAUUUCAGACAAUU
rnacentral:snoRNA from 1 species